rnacentral:rRNA from 1 species
GGCGAAUGAAGAGGGAAAAGCCCAAAUUUGUAAUCUGGCUCUUUCAGAGUCCGAGUUGUAAUUUUAAGAACUGUUUUCAGUGCUGGACCAUGUACAAAGUCUUCUGAAAAGAAGCAUCAUAGAAGGUGAUAAUCCUGUUCAUGAUAUGGACUACCAGUGCAAUAUGAUACAGUCUCUAAGAGUCGAGUUGUUUGGGAAUGCAGCUCAAAGUGGGUGGUAAAUUCCAUCUAAGGCUAAAUAUUGAUGAGAGACCGAUAGCAAACAAGUACCGUGAGGGAAAGAUGAAAAGAACUUUGGAAAGAGAGUUAACAGUACGUGAAAUUGUUAAAAGGGAAACAAUUGAAGUUAGACUUGUUAUUAAUAGUUCAACCUUUUUUUUUAAAAAGGAGUAUUCUAUUGAUUAACAGACCAACAUCAAUUUUUGGGUGUUGGAUAAGGGUUUAAGGAAAUGUAGCAGUUUUUGACUGUGUUAUAUUCCUUUUGAGCUUUGAUACAAUGCUUAAGAUUGAGGGAAUG